GCUCAGGAUGAACGCUGGCGGCGUGCCUAACACAUGCAAGUCGAACGAAGCGAUUUGGAAGAAGUUUUCGGAUGGAAUCCAAAUUGACUGAGUGGCGGACGGGUGAGUAACGCGUGGGUAACCUGCCUCACACUGGGGGACAACAGCUGGAAACGGCUGCUAAUACCGCAUAAGCGCACAGCUUCGCAUGAAGCAGUGUGAAAGACUCCGGUGGUGUGAGAUGGACCCGCGUCUGAUUAGCUAGUUGGUAAGGUAACGGCUUACCAAGGCGACGAUCAGUAGCCGACCUGAGAGGGUGACCGGCCACAUUGGGACUGAGACACGGCCCAAACUCCUACGGGAGGCAGCAGUA
rnacentral:rRNA from 1 species